rnacentral:rRNA from 1 species
GACGAACGCUGGCGGCGUGCUUAACACAUGCAAGUCGAACGGAAGCACCUGCUUUCCCUUGUGGAUUGCGGGUACUCGAGUGGCGAACGGGUGAGUACCACGUGAGUGAUCUGUCCCCGACUUGGGUAUAAGCCUAGGAAACGGGAUCUACUUCUCGGUACGACUGGAGGGUGCUGCCUGUGUUGGAAAACUGUGUUCUAGUGGUAGGCGAUGAGCGCGCGGCCUAUCAGCUUGUUGGUGGGGUACUGGCCUACCAAGCCGGCGAGGGGUAGCCAGCGUGUGAGGGUGGACGGCGACAUUGGGACUGAGACACGGCCCAGACUCGUACGAGAGGCAGGAGUUGUGAGUAUUGCGCAGUGGGCGGAAGCCAGAUGCAGCGACUGCGCGUAGGAGAUGAUCGGCUUCGGGAUGUAAACUCCUUGCGACCGCGAGCAAGACAUCUGGUUGGAAGGGUUGUGACGGUAGCGGUAGAAGAAGCACCGGCUAACUACGUG